GUUUAGGAAUGCUGAACAUGACUUUGGUCGAGUGUCCGCAAUAAAUAAUCGCACCCUUAUGCCUCCAGAUGAAUGGUGGAUGACAUAUGGAACCAGCGCUCCAAAUCUACAACAGUUGGCUAUACGAGUGUUAAGUCAAACUUGUAGUUCUUCGGGAUGUGAGAGAAAUUGGAGUAUGUUUGAACAUAUUCAUUCCAAGAAGAGAAAUAGAUUGGAGCACCAAAGGCUUAAUGACCUUGUUUACGUCCACUGCAAUCUAAGAUUGAAACAAAAGAAUUAUUGGAAAGGACGAAAUUAUGAUCCAAUUAAUGUUGAGACAAUUUGUGACAUUGAAAAUUGGGUAGUUGAAGAUGACCCGUCAAUCUUGACAGCUGAAGAAGCAGAGAGUUUUCACCAAGCUCUAUCAACU